CCAAAGCUUGUAACAUGGCUGGUGUCCCCCUUCUGUGCAAAGGUAACCCUUCUUUGUUUUAUCAACCAAAUUCUUAUUGGCUGAACAUUUUUGUGAGUGUGGUUAUUGAAUGUUGAGCAAAUUGAUUUGGGCACUAACUCUGACUUGUAUUACUACAUUGCAGCAUCUGCUUCCCCAAUUCCAGCUCCAGGUACCAAAAGUAACUCUGCUUCUUUAAUUUCGCACUAGCAUUUCCUGAUUUUAGUAACACAACAAAAUAAAAAGAAGAUUAAAAUCUUCAAUUGCCAAAAUACUGGGAUUAAUAAAAGCUUCUGGCUGACAGGUCCAGCUGCCUUAGCACCAACAAAAUCUCCUAGAUCAUCUCAAAGGCCUAGGUCACCCCCAUCUCCUAGUCCUGAAGGUAAGUAGAACUCUGAUUUUUCUGGUGAAUUUAACUGAACUUGCUGAAUUCUGAG
rnacentral:lncRNA from 1 species